GUGGAGAUAAUACUAAGGAAACACCUGAUCCCAUUCCGAACUCAGAAGUUAAGCUUAGAGAUGCCGAAGGUAGUCG
rnacentral:rRNA from 1 species